rnacentral:rRNA from 1 species
AGAGUUUGAUCCUGGCUCAGGAUGAACGCUGGCGGCGUGCUUAACACAUGCAAGUCGAACGGAGUUUACAUGAAACCUAGUGAUUGUAAACUUAGUGGCGGACGGGUGAGUAACGCGUGGGUAACCUGCCUUAUACCGGGGGACAACAGUUAGAAAUGACUGCUAAUACCGCAUAAGCGCACGGAAUCGCACGAUUCAGUGUGAAAAACUCCGGUGGUAUAAGAUGGACCCGCGUCUGAUUAGCCAGUUGGUGAGGUAACGGCUCACCAAGCCGAAGACGGGUAGCCGGACUGAGAGGUUGUACGGCCACAUUGGAACUGAGAGACGGUCCAGACUCCUACGGGAGGCAGCAGUGGGGAAUAUUGGGCAAUGGGGGCAACCCUGACCCAGCGACGCCGCGUGAGGGAAGACAGCCUUCGGGUUGUAAACCUCUGUUGCAGGGGAAGAAGGACGUGACGGUACCCUGCGAGGAAGCUCCGGCUAACUACGUGCCAGCAGCCGCGGUAAUACGUAGGGAGCGAGCGUUGUCCGGAAUUACUGGGCGUAAAGGGCGCGAAGGCUGUUUUGCAAGUCAACUGUCAAAACGAGAGGCUUAACCUCCCGUCGCAGUUGAAACUGCAAGACUGGAGGCACAGAGAGGCAGACAGAAUUCCUGGUGUAGCGGUGAAAUGCGUAGAUAUCAGGAAGAACACCAGUGGCGAAGGCGGCUUGCUGGUCCGAUACUGACGUUGAGGCACGAAAGCGUGGGGAGCAAACAGGAUUAGAUACCCUGGUAGUCCACGCCCUAAACGAUGAGUACUAAGUGUUGGUGAGAAAUCAGUGCUGAAGUUAACGCAUUAAGUACUCCGCCUGAGUAGUACGUACGCAAGUAUGAAACUUAAAGGAAUUGACGGGAGCCCGCACAAGCGGUGGAGCAUGUUGUUUAAUUCGACGAUACGCGAAGAACCUUACCAGGUCUUGACAUCUAGUUGUUAGGUAUGGAGACAUAUCGAGAUUGACUAAGACAGGUGGUGCAUGGUUGUCGUCAGCUCGUGUCGUGAGAUGUUGGGUUAAGUCCCGCAACGAGCGCAACCCUUAUUGCUAGUUACUAAUAUUAAGUUAAGGACUCUAGCAAGACUGCCAGUGAUAAAUUGGAGGAAGGUGGGGAUGACGUCAAAUCAUCAUGCCCUUUAUGACCUGGGCUACAAACGUGCUACAAUGGCUGAAACAAAGAGAAGCGAAGCGGUGACGCAGAGCGAACCUCAAAAAAGCAGUCUCAGUUCGGAUUGAAGUCUGCAACUCGACUUCAUGAAGUUGGAAUCGCUAGUAAUCGCGAAUCAGAAUGUCGCGGUGAAUACGUUCCCAGGCUUUGUACACACCGCCCGUCAAACCAUGAGAGUUUGUAAUACCCGAAGCCGGUGGCGUAACCGCAAGGAGCGAGCCGUCUAAGGUAGGACAAAUGAUUGGGGUUAAGUCGUAACAAGGUAACC